CUGGCUCAGGAUGAACGCUGGCGGCGUGCCUAAUACAUGCAAGUCGAACGAAGCACCUCGGUGCUUAGUGGCGAACGGGUGAGUAACACGUGGGUAACCUGCCCUCAAGACGAGGAUAACCGUUGGAAACGAUGGCUAAGACUGGAUAGGAAUACGGGAGGCAUCUUCUGUAUUUUAAAAGACCUGGCAACAGGUAUGCUUGAGGAGGGGCCUGCGGCGCAUUAGUUAGUUGGUGAGGUGAUGGCUCACCAAGACGAUGAUGCGUAGCCGGACUGAGAGGUUGAACGGCCACAUUGGGACUGAGAGACGGCCCAAACUCCUACGGGAGGCAGCAGUAGGGAAUUUUUGGCAAAAUGGGGGAAACCCUUACCCAGCAAUGCCGCGUGAAGGAAGAAGGUCUUCGGAUUGUAAACUUCUUUUAUUGGGGACGAAUAAAUGACGGUACCCGAUGAAUAAGCCCCGGCUAACUAUGUGCCAGCCGCAGC
rnacentral:rRNA from 1 species